rnacentral:snoRNA from 1 species
GCCGACAGCGAGGGGACAAUCAGUCUCCUCGCACGGGCUCGGUUGAACCCGCCUCCGCAAGGUAUCGGGCUCUAUGAGCGGAGCGUGCUCACGCCGAGCCCACAGGGCCGGUGCAUCCACCCGCGCGAAAAGUGAACGCGGGCCUCUGUUGCCGGCCCACAACUUCCAAAAA